rnacentral:rRNA from 1 species
AUGCCUGUAUCAGUGUCCGUACAUCAACCUUGGUUUUCUUCCUUCCGUGUAGUCGGUGGAGGAUAUGCCAGACGUGAAGUGUCUUGCUGGCGGUCUUUCGAGUCUGCCGGUGAGUCCUUUGAAAUGUACUGA